GCUUACGGCCAUACCAGCCUGGGUACGCCCGAUCUCGUCUGAUCUCGGAAGCUAAGCAGGGUCGGGCCUGGUUAGUACUUGGAUGGGAGACCGCCUGCGAAUACCAGGUGCUGUAAGCA
rnacentral:rRNA from 1 species